UACGUAGGGCGCAAGCGUUGUCCGGAAUUAUUGGGCGUAAAGAGCUCGUAGGCGGUUUGUCGCGUCUGCUGUGAAAGCCCGGGGCUCAACCCCGGGUCUGCAGUGGGUACGGGCAGACUAGAGUGCGGUAGGGGAGAUUGGAAUUCCUGGUGUAGCGGUGAAAUGCGCAGAUAUCAGGAGGAACACCGAUGGCGAAGGCAGGUCUCUGGGCUGUAACUGACGCUGAGGAGCGAAAGCAUGGGGAGCGAACAGG
rnacentral:rRNA from 1 species